rnacentral:rRNA from 1 species
GAAGAAUGGUGGCUGCAGGUCAGGCAACAGAUACCCAAGGCGAUGAGGCGCAACUUCGACACCAUUACCAUCCUGGUGCAUUGGCGAAUCUGGAAGGAAAGGAAUACCAGGGUCUUCGAGCAGUACGCCAGCAGUGCAGAUAAGGUCUUCGAUACAAUCACGGAGGAGUUGGCUACAUGGAGAACGGCUGGCUGCAUCUAUGACACAGCCACUGGCGGGCAGAUUGGGGUUUUGCAUUUGGUUGCAAGCCCGCAUUAG